UCUCCGUAGGUGAACCUGCGGAGGGAUCAUUACGGUUUGGAACGCCCCCGGUCCGCCGGCGGGCAGCUCGGGGGGGAAAAGACGCGCCGGGCGACCUUUGGGCCCUCCGGCGCGGCCCCCGGGUCCUCCAACUCUCACCCCAUGUGUUUCGACCUCGUUGCUUCGGGGGCCACCCCGCUCGUCGGGGGCCCCCGGUGGCACCAACAACCAAACUCGUGUAUCUUCGCGUCCGAGUCGUAUACCAAUUAUACAAAACUUUCAACAACGGAUCUCUUGGUUCUGGCAUCGAUGAAGAACGCAGC
rnacentral:misc_RNA from 1 species